rnacentral:rRNA from 1 species
AUUGAACGCUGGCGGCAUGCUUUACACAUGCAAGUCGAGCGGCAGCGCGGGGGCAACCCUGGCGGCGAGCGGCGUACGGGUGAGUAAUACAUCGGAACAUGUCCUGUCGUGGGGGAUAGCUCGGCGAAAGCCGGAUUAAUACCGCAUACGAUCUACGGAUGAAAGUGGGGGAUCGCAAGACCUCACGCGAUUGGAGUGGCCGAUGUCGGAUUAGCUAGUUGGNGAGGUAAAGGCUUACCAAGGCAACGAUCCGUAGCUGGUCUGAGAGGAUGAUCAGCCACACUGGAACUGAGACACGGUCCAGACUCCUACGGGAGGCAGCAGUGGGGAAUUUUGGACAAUGGGGGCAACCCUGAUCCAGCCAUGCCGCGUGAGUGAAGAAGGCC